CUUCCAGCUGCACUUACUACUGACUGUUCCCUUCCCGGAACUCUAUUAUUUUCCUUGACAGUACACACCAGGGGUUCUUCUUUAUCUCCAAACUCAUCUUGUCAGUGGAAUGUGUUGGAUCUUCUUCCCAGACCUUAAAAGCCAUUGUGACCCGGGAGACACUGGAUGUUAAAGGAGCAGUAGUCAGGGGGCUAGUCAGGGGGCUUUUCACGGGGCAGAGUUCAAUGGCACUGUAUGGGCAGUUAACCGAGGGGGAAUUCUUUUUCAGUUCCAGCUCUAAACAGAAGUUCAUUUUUCCAACCAAAAAGAAAUGUCAGUCUCCCCUACCCCAACACACACACCUCGGCAACAAAGUGAAUGGAGCCCCGAAGCCAAGCUAGGCAGGAAAAUCUGAUUCCUGAUCCCAAAGGAACUGUGAUUUUUAACAUUCUUGGGGUCACAGACCCCUCUGAAAAACCACAGGAGUUAAAGACCCUUUCACCACCCAAAAUGUGAGGACAUGAGCUCAUACAAGCACAGGCUUGCAAAUAACUUUGAGAGGGUUCCCAGACUCAUUAAGAACCCCAGUGAUGGGAAGAUGCGGAGGGCUCAGGUGAGGAGGGAGAGUGGAGGAGGGGAAGGCUCCAGUGAGGUAUGGCUAUAGCCAGAAUUUUGGAGAAAUGAGGAGCAAGAUUUUUCACUGAAAAUCAACUGAUGAGUUCUGUACUUUAAACAGGUUCAUAAGCAAACACUAAACUUCAGUAUUAAAAAAAAAAGGCUCCUGAAAAAAUCCAUUUCUGUCCCAAGAUCAAAAAGUCUACAUGGAACAAACAAGAUUCCAGAAUGGAUCAUACCUCCUCUUUCUGUAGCCAUGCUAUCUUAAGGGUUAUCUUCAGUUCCUUCAUGGAUGAAGACCUGAAGACUCUAUGUAUCCUUAAUAACUGAAGGCGCGCGCCUCUCCCGUGACUCCAGCACCACUGUUCCCGUGCCCGCGUCUGCCUACCCUCUCUGUUCUCCUGGACAAGACGUCCCCGACAGCACCUCGGGCGAG